AAGACCCCAAGCUAUAAAGGCCCAGUCUGCUGAAGGACUGGGCUUCUGCCACGUGGUCAUUCCACCUGCGUGGUUGGUGCCCCAUCUCUGCACCUCUCUCCCAACACGGAGCACGUCGUGACACAAGCUCCCCUGGCCACACUGUGCGGCGUGUUCCCGGGCCUGCGGAUGCGCUCAGCGGACUCGGUCAACCGAUAAACCCGGGGAGGAUCUUCU